UGAAAGUGCUGCCUCUCCGCCCACCGCCAUGUUGGAUCCUCGGUUUGGUGAUUUUAAAUCAGCAUAACUCCAGGACUCAGCAAUUGCUGGUCCAUGUUAGCAACUGCACCCCUGGGUUCCACUCACGCAGUGGAGGACCCAAUUCUUAGUCUACUCCAUCAUCUGUGGAUCCUGUGUUUCUUGGUCUUGGGUUCAGUCUCCAAACUCAAUCUGUUCUGCCCCCACAAUUUCACAUUCCUGGUCAGGUGCAUCUCUCCCAGCCAGUCCUGCAAGCAGCCAGAUUGGAGGGGGAGGAGGAGAGCUAGGUGGGUUUUCACAACCAGUAAACCCCUUUCCACAUUUUAUUUUUUCCUGGUCACUUGGGCACUCUAUGUCAUGGAAGUGUGAGUUUGCCAGGCCUGUAUUUGGGGCCAAACUCAAGUUGGCCAGGAAUCAGCUCCCCCAGCUGCUGGCCCCCACACUGCAGUGGCAAAUGGUUUCUUCCUCUGUUCCCCACAUACAGCCAGGAGAGAUGCUUCUUUCCCACACAAGGAUAUCGUGUAGAAUGCCUUGCAGUUUACUUGGGCAAUGUCUUUGAUCUCUAAAUUCUCCAUACCCAGACAUGCCUCAGGCCUCCUAAAAAUGUGGGUUCCUUUAAUUCCAUUAUCCCUCCACUUUUCUUGUGGAAGGACCACUCUGGCUGGUGCCUCCAGGUGUGGCAGCAGUGGUGGCACUGAGAAUUUCUUCCUUAUUUAAUUAUAUCCAGCCUCCUGAGUCCCCAAUGUACUUUGAAAUGUCCAGUAUUAAAUCCCAGUAAAGUCACCCCCUCUUUUUUCCACACAUCUUUCUGAGAAGCUGCCUAUCUGCUUCUUUGGUUUCACACAACAAAGCAGCCAGGAAGGUGACUUUCUCUAUUCUGC
rnacentral:lncRNA from 1 species